rnacentral:rRNA from 2 species
AGCCUGAUCCAGCCAUGCCGCGUGCAGGAUGACGGUCCUAUGGAUUGUAAACUGCUUUUAUACAGGAAGAAACCCUGGUUCGUGAACCAGCUUGACGGUACUGUAAGAAUAAGGAUCGGCUAACUCCGUGCCAGCAGCCGCGGUAAUACGGAGGAUCCAAGCGUUAUCCGGAAUCAUUGGGUUUAAAGGGUCCGUAGGCGGUUUAGUAAGUCAGUGGUGAAAGCCCAUCGCUCAACGGUGGAACGGCCAUUGAUACUGCUAAACUUGAAUUAUUAGGAAGUAACUAGAAUAUGUAGUGUAGCGGUGAAAUGCUUAGAGAUUACAUGGAAUACCAAUUGCGAAGGCAGGUUACUACUAAUUGAUUGACGCUGAUGGACGAAAGCGUGGGUAGCGAACAGGAUUAGAUACCCUGGUAGUCCACGCCGUAAACGAUGGAUACUAGCUGUUGGGGGCAACUUCAGUGGCUAAGCGAAAGUGAUAAGUAUCCCACCUGGGGAGUACGUUCGCAAGAAUGAAACUCAAAGGAAUUGACGGGGGCCCGCACAAGCGGUGGAGCAUGUGGUUUAAUUCGAUGAUACGCGAGGAACCUUACCAAGGCUUAAAUGUAGUUUGACCGAUUUGGAAACAGAUUUUUC